rnacentral:rRNA from 1 species
AGGGUGCGAGCGUUGUCCGGAAUUAUUGGGCGUAAAGAGCUCGUAGGCGGUGUGUCGCGUCGGCCGUGAAAACCUGCAGCUUAACUGUGGGCUUGCGGUCGAUACGGGCAUCACUGGAGUUCGGCAGGGGAGACUGGAAUUCCUGGUGUAGCGGUGAAAUGCGCAGAUAUCAGGAGGAACACCGGUGGCGAAGGCGGGUCUCUGGGCCGAUACUGACGCUGAGGAGCGAAAGCGUGGGGAGCGAACAGG